rnacentral:rRNA from 1 species
GACGAACGCUGGCGGCGUGCUUAACACAUGCAAGUCGAACGGAAAGGCCCUGCUUUUGUGGGGUGCUCGAGUGGCGAACGGGUGAGUAACACGUGAGUAACCUGCCCUUGACUUUGGGAUAACUUCAGGAAACUGGGGAUAAUACCGGAUAGGAGCUACUGCUGCAUGGUGGGGGUUGGAAAGUUUCGGCGGUUGGGGAUGGACUGGCGGCUUAUCAGCUUGUUGGUGGGGUAGUGGCUUACCAAGGCUUUGGCGGGUAGCCGGCCUGCGAGGGUGACCGGCCACAAUGGGACUGAGGUACGGCCCAGACGCCUACGGGAGGCAGCGGUGGGGAAUAUUGCACAAUGGGCGGGAGCCUGAUGCAGCAACGCCGCGUGCGGGAUGACGGCCUUCGGGUUGUAAACCGCUUUCGCCUGUGACGAAGCGUGAGUGACGGUAAUGGGUAAAGAAGCACCGGCUAACUACGUG